GUGCCAGACUCCUACGGGAGGCAGCAGUGGGGAAUAUUGCGCAAUGGGCGAAAGCCUGACGCAGCGACGCCGCGUGAGGGAUGAAGGUCUUCGGAUCGUAAACCUCUGUCAGCAGGGAAGAACGGUCACUGUGCUAAUCAGCAGUGAAUUGACGGUACCUGCAAAGGAAGCACCGGCUAACUCCGUGCCAGCAGCCGCGGUAAUACGGAGGAUGCGAGCGUUAUCCGGAUUUAUUGGGUUUAAAGGGUGCGUAGGCGGGAUGCCAAGUCGGCGGUCAAAUGCGGGGGCUCAACCUGCGUCCGCCGUUGAAACUGGCGUUCUUGAGUGGGCGAGAAGUACGCGGAAUGCGUGGUGUAGCAGUGAAAUGCAUAGAUAUCACGCAGAACCCCGAUUGCGAAGGCAGCGUACCGGCGCCCGACUGACGCUGAAGCACGAAAGCGUGGGUAUCGAACAGGAUUAGAUACCCCCGUAC
rnacentral:rRNA from 1 species